rnacentral:lncRNA from 1 species
UGGGAUGUAAUUAGUGAGUCACCAGGUGAAGGUGUUACAGAAGGGAGAGCAAAAACCUAUAAAAACAGGACUCACAGGCUGCCUGGGUUUGGGAGGAGGUGAGAAGAUGCGCCCUAGGAAGCUGCAUGGCCUGAUUUGAGGUCUUGCGAAGGACAGCAAGCAAAAUGCUUUUUUGGGAAAGCCAGGCUAUCAUCCCCCCAAACAGCAAACUCCAAACCCGAAAGAGAAAGGGCCCUUUGAAGUGAGCUGCCCGAAUGCGACGUGUGACAUCAGAGAGAUGGCAGAUAGCUGGCAGAACAAGGCUGCCUUUCAGCCUGCCCCAGCCCCGGUCGGUGCACGAUUUACACCCCACCUCCCCACGCUGGAGAUGAAAGAUGCCCCAGGCAGCCUGCCUGACCCCGUUGCUUCUGCUAUCUCCACUUGAUUGCACAGUGUUUUGCUCCAAACAAUCCUUCACUGUCUGGGCCGCACAGGUUCAACCUGCCUUUCUGUCCAAAGCAAGCUGGUCUCCCACCUUGGGUCCUUGCUUUAAAAAGGUAUGGUGGAAGGAGGACCUGCGUGUCUAUGCUGAAAUGAAAAUCUUUGAGAAGUUGUUCAGUCUUGAGACAGUGGAUUUGUGUAGAAGAUGAGUUGUGGUAAAAUAGCUGCAAAUUAAGCACACAUCCAACAAGUCUGGAGGACAGUGAGUCUGAGGAACCAAGCAGAUGGGCUCAAGAAAGCUCUGAGUGUUCAAGUGGCACCAGGGAUGUGCCCACACAAACAUCUCAGUAGGUUCUUCCUGAGCUAAUGCAAUCCCAGAGGCAUGUCCUAGAUUCGUGUGAGUGGGGCAUGAGUCAAAACCCUGAAGGGUAUUUGAGCAGCUGAGCUCCCAUAAGAUCUGAGCACCCUUUUGACCUCUACUGAAAAGAUCAGAGCCAAGUUUUCCCUUGCGUUCAGAGACUUGUAAAGGCUGAAUGCCCUAAAAUCAAUGUUACUAGUGGGAACAUGGAAAUUAAUUGUGUCAAUCUAUCACUCAUCUUCCCCUAUUACAUUCAGUGAUUGGAACUUGGCCUCCAGUGCAUGAACAAAGUGUCUUCUGUGACAAGUAACUGCUGCGCAGGAGGUGGCUGCAUGGCUGAGUGGUGGAGAGGGCAGGACAAAAUAAAAGUUUGGGUUCAACAUC